GGCGACGUGUUGUAGUGGUUAUCAUGCUGGUUCACCUUUGCAUGCCAGAGACCCCGGUUCGACUCAGGGCAUCUGCCC